UACGUAGGGGGCAAGCGUUAUCCGGAUUUACUGGGUGUAAAGGGAGUGUAGGUGGCCAUACAAGUCAGAAGUGAAAGCCCGGGGCUCAACCCCGGGACUGCUUUUGAAACUGCAUGGCUUGAGUGCAGGAGAGGUAAGUGGAAUUCCUAGUGUAGCGGUGAAAUGCGUAGAUAUUAGGAGGAACACCAGUGGCGAAGGCGACUUACUGGACUGUAACUGACACUGAGGCUCGAAAGCGUGGGGAGCAAAC
rnacentral:rRNA from 1 species